rnacentral:rRNA from 1 species
ACCAGUACCGUGAGGGAAAGGUGAAAAGAACCGCGGGAGCGGAGUGAAAUAGAACCUGAAACCGUAUGCUUACAAGAAGUCAGAGCCCGUUAAAGGGUGAUGGCGUGCCUUUUGUAGAAUGAGCCGGCGAGUUAUGAUAUGGAGCGAGGUUAAGCAGGAGAUGCGGAGCCGAAGCGAAAGCGAGUCUUAAGAGGGCGAAAGUUGCAUGUCAUAGACCCGAAACCGGGUGAUCUAGCCAUGAUCAGGUUGAAGUCGGGGUAAGACCCGAUGGAGGACCGAACCGACCCCCGUUGAAACGUUGGCGGAUGAAUUGUGGCUAGGGGUGAAAUUCCAAACGAACCCGGAGAUAGCUGGUUCUCCCCGAAAUAGCUUUAGGGCUAGCGUCGCAGGAAGUGCCAUGAAGGUAGAGCACUGAAUAUGUGAUGGCCUCAUCCCGAGGUACUGAGCAUAAUCAAACUCCGAAUGUCAUGGAGACGAUGAGCGGCAGUCAGACCAUGGGUGAUAAGGUCCAUGGUCAAGAGGGAAACAGCCCAGACCAUCAGCUAAGGUCCCCAAAUACAUGCUAAGUGGAAAAGGAUGUGGAGAUGUACAGACAACCAGGAGGUUGGCUCAGAAGCAGCCAUCCUUCAAAGAGUGCGUAACAGCUCACUGGUCGAAUGACUCUGCGCCGAAAAUUUACCGGGGCUAAGCAUGAUACCGAAGCUAUGGAUUUACGAAAGUAAGUGGUAGGGGAGCGUUCCAGACAGCGAGGAAGGAUGAUCGAAAGGACAUCUGGAGCGUGUGGAAGAGAGAAUGCCGGUGUGAGUAGCGGCACGUGGGUGAGAAUCCCACGCACCGAAGACCCAAGGUUUCCAGAGGAAGGUUCGUCCGCUCUGGGUAAGUCGGGACCUAAGGCGAGGCCGAGAGGCGUAGUCGAUGGACAACAGGUAGAGAUUCCUGUACUUACGGUAUGAAUGAUGGAGUGACGGAGAAGGCUAGCGGAUCCUGCUGAUGGAAAUGCAGGUGCAAGCGAGGUAGCCGACAGCCAGGCAAAUCCGGCUGUCGAAAGGCAAAGGCGUGAGGCGUAUGGAAAGCUGCGGCAAGUACAGAAGUCCGUGAAGCCAGCUUCCAAGAAAAGCUUCUAGUGAUAAUCAUACAGUAACCCGUACCGAAAAUGGACACACAUGGGUGAGGAGAGAAUCCUAAGGUGAGCGAGAGAACUAUAGCUAAGGAACUCUGCAAAAUGACUCCGUAACUUAGGGAUAAGGAGUGCUCAUAGAGAUAUGAGCCGCAGUGAAACGGCCCAAGCGACUGUUUACCAAAAACACAGCUCUAUGCUAAGUCGAAAGACGACGUAUAUGGGGUGACGCCUGCCCGGUGCUGGAAGGUUAAGAGGAUGUGUCAGCGCAAGCGAAGCAUUGAAUUGAAGCCCCAGUAAACGGCGGCCGUAACUAUAACGGUCCUAAGGUAGCGAAAUUCCUUGUCAGGUAAGUUCUGACCCGCACGAAAGGCGUAACGAUUUGGGCGCUGUCUCAGCUGUAGACUCGGUGAAGUCUUAGUACCUGUGAAGAUGCAGGUUACCCGCGACUAGACGGAAAGACCCCAUGGAGCUUUACUGUAGCUUGAUAUUGGACUUUGAUGCAAGAUGUACAGGAUAGGUAGGAGACUGAGAGACAUGCACGCCAGUGUGUGAGGAGUCAAUGUUGGGAUACUACUCUUCUUGUAUUGGAGUUCUAACCGGAUGCCAUGGAACUGGCAACGGGACAGUGUCAGGUGGGCAGUUUGACUGGGGCGGUCGCCUCCCAAAGAGUAACGGAGGCGCCCAAAGAUACCCUCAGCUUGGAUGGAAAUCAAGCGCAGAGUGCAAAGGCAUAAGGGUGUUUGACUGCGAGACCUACAAGUCGAGCAGGGACGAAAGUCGGGCUUAGUGAUCCGGCGGUGCUGAAUGGAAAGGCCGUCGCUCAACGGAUAAAAGCUACCCUGGGGAUAACAGGCUGAUCUCCCCCAAGAGUCCACAUCGACGGGGAGGUUUGGCACCUCGAUGUCGGCUCAUCGCAUCCUGGAGCUGAAGUCGGUUCCAAGGGUUGGGCUGUUCGCCCAUUAAAGCGGUACGCGAGCUGGGUUCAGAACGUCGUGAGACAGUUCGGUCCCUAUCUGUCGUGGGCGUAGGAAGUUUGAGAAGAUCUGUCCUCAGUACGAGAGGACCGGGAUGGACAUAUCAAUGGUGCACCAGUUGUCACGCCAGUGGCACAGCUGGGUAGCUAAAUAUGGAAGGGAUAAACGCUGAAGGCAUCUAAGUGUGAAACCCACUUCAAGAUGAGACUUCCCAUUACGCAAGUAAGUAAGACCCCUUAAAGACGAUAAGGUUGAUAGGUCAGGAGUGUAAGCAUGGCGACAUGUUCAGCGGACUGAUACUAAUAGGUCGAGGACUUAACCUA